CCUACGGGUGGCAGCAGUGGGGAAUCUUCCGCAAUGGGCGAAAGCCUGACGGAGCAACGCCGCGUGAUCGAAUGAAGGCCUUCGGGUUGUAAAGAUCUGUUGCCAGGGACGAAUAAGCAAUGUGAAUAGUUUUGUGUAUGCCGGUACCUGUUUAGAAAGCUCCGGCUAACUACGUACCAGCAGCCGCGGUAAUACGUAGGGAGCAAGCGUUGUCCGGAUUUACUGGGCGUAAAGGGCGCGUAGGUGGGCGCUUAAGUCAGGUGUGAAAACGCCGGGCACAACCUGGAGACUGCACUUGAAACUGGGGAUCUUGAGUGCGCGAGAAGUAUGCGGAAUGCGUGGUGUAGCGGUGAAAUGCAUAGAUAUCACGCAGAACUCCGAUGGCGAAGGCAGCAUACCGGCGCCCGACUGACGCUGAGGCACGAAAGCGUGGGGAUCGAACAGGAUUAGAUACCCGAGUAGUC
rnacentral:rRNA from 1 species